rnacentral:rRNA from 1 species
UACAGAGGGUGCAAGCGUUAAUCGGAAUUACUGGGCGUAAAGCGUGCGUAGACGGUUGCGUAAGUCAGAUGUGAAAGCCCCGGGCUCAACCUGGGAAUUGCAUUUGAGACUGCGUAGCUAGGGUGCGGAGGAGGGAAGCGGAAUUUCCGGUGUAGCGGUGAAAUGCAUAGAUAUCGGAAGGAACACCAGUGGCGAAAGCGGCUUCCUGGUCCAGCACCGACGUUCAGGCACGAAAGCGUGGGGAGCAAACAGG